UACGUAGGGGGCAAGCGUUGUCCGGAAUUAUUGGGCGUAAAGAGUUCGUAGGCGGUUUGUCGCGUCGAAUGUGAAAUCCCGGGGCUCAACCCCGGGUCUGCAUUCGAUACGGGCAGACUAGAGUUCGGUAGGGGAGUCUGGAAUUCCUGGUGUAGCGGUGAAAUGCGCAGAUAUCAGGAGGAACACCGGUGGCGAAGGCGGGACUCUGGGCCGAUACUGACGCUGAGGAGCGAAAGCGUGGGGAGCAAACAGG
rnacentral:rRNA from 1 species